CCAAUAGCGUAUAUUAAAGUUGUUGCAGUUAAAAAGCUCGUAGUUGAAUUUUAGGCCUGGCCGGGCGGUCCGUCUUUGGCGAGUACUGUCCUGUGUCGGGUCCACCUUCUGGUGAACCAGUAUGUCCUUUAUUGGGUGUGCCGGGGAGCCAGGACCAUUACCUUGAAAAAAUUAGAGUGUUUAAAGCAGGCAUUUGCUUGAAUAGAUUAGCAUGGAAUAAUAGAAUAGGACGUUGUGGUUCUAUUUUGUUGGUUUCUAGGACCACCGUAAUGAUUAAUAGGGAUAGUUGGGGGCAUUAGUAUUCAAUUGUCAGAGGUGAAAUUCUUGGAUUUAUUGAAGACUAACUAUUGCGAAAGCAUUUGCCAAGGAUGUUUUCAUUAAUCAAGAACGAAAGUUAGGGGAUCGAAGACGAUCAGAUACCGUCGUAGUCUUAACCAUAAACUAUGCCGACUAGGGAUCGGACGAAGUUAAUUUUAUAAUGACGCGUUCGGCACCUUACG
rnacentral:rRNA from 1 species